AUUGAACGCUAGCGGGAUGCCUUACACAUGCAAGUCGAACGGAGUGGCGAAAGGGUGAGUAAUGUAUCGGAACGUGCCCAGUAGCGGGGGAUAACUACGCGAAAGCGUAGCCAAUACCGCAUAAUAGUGGAGCGGCCGAUAGCGGAUUAGCUAGUUGGUGGGGUAACGGCUCACCAAGGCGACGAUGCGUAGCAGGUCUGAGAGGACGACCGGCCACACUGGGACUGAGACACGGCCCAGACUCCUACGGGAGGCAGCAGUGGGGAAUUUUGGGCAAUGGGCGAAACCCUGAUCCAGCCAUCCCGCGUGUGCGAUGAAGGCCUUCGGUUUGUAAAGCACUUUUGGCAGAAAAGCGGUACCUGCAGAAUAAGCACCGGCUAACUACGUGCCAGCAGCCGCGGUAAUAC
rnacentral:rRNA from 1 species